rnacentral:rRNA from 1 species
AUUGAACGCUGGCGGCAUGCUUUACACAUGCAAGUCGAACGGCAGCGCGGGCUUCGGCCUGGCGGCGAGUGGCGAACGGGUGAGUAAUACAUCGGAACGUGCCCAGUAGUGGGGGAUAGCACGGCGAAAGCCGGAGUAAUACCGCAUACGACCUGAGGGUGAAAGCGGGGGAGCUUCGGACCUCGCGCUAGUGGAGGGGCCGAUGGCAGAUUAGCUAGUUGGUGGGGUAAAGGCCUACCAAGGCGACGAUCUGUAGCUGGUCUGAGAGGAGGGCCAGCCACAUUGGAACUGAGACACCGCCCAGACUCCUACGGGAGGCAGCAGUGGGGAAUUUUGGACAAUGGGCGAAAGCCUGAUCCAGCGGGGCCGCGUGUGUGAUGAAGGCCUUCGGGUUGUAAAGCACUUUUGGCGGGGACGAAAAGGACUGUGCCGAUACCACGGUUCGAUGACGGUACCCGCAGAAUAAGCACCGGCUAACUACGUG